CCAACUUGAACAUGCCUGAUCUUGUCUGAUCUCAGAAGCUAAGCAGGGUUGAGCCUGGUUAGUAUGCAGAUGGAAGACCACCCAGGAUUACUGAGU
rnacentral:rRNA from 1 species